ACUAGUCUGUUUAUGUGUCCCUGUAUAUUUUGCUAAACAUGCAUGCAUUAUUUGUUUAAUAGAAAAUAUAUACAGGGUAAAGAAGUGCCUUCCAGGGGAAUCGUUUAAAUUAGGUAAUUCUGAUUUUAACUGCUUAGUGAAAUGAUUGAAAUGCAAUUUUUAAAAAAUAAUCUUUGUAGUCAAACACCCGGCAGCAAAGAGCUCUCCAGCAUGGGUAACAAUGGGCUUCUUGUUGUCCUGUAGAUAAAUUUUUCACCUGUCUAAUGUUGCUGCUCCUGGGGCACGAGUGAAUACCUUCAGGGUUGGAACUGGUCGUCUUUGCCACCUCCCUGGACUCUUAAAUUGCACUGACCCCUUUCCUUCAGUACUAAGCAAUGUGUAGUAAAAUAUUUCCUGUAAAACAGUUUUCAAAAGAAAUGUCGCCAGGAUGGUUGUAGAACGAAACCCCCAAAAUCCAACAAACAAAGCAUUGAGUAAGAUAUUUCCUUUUGUCAUUAGUGUCAGUUUUUUUCCCCCAUAUAGCAGUAGUGGAAUUCAAAGAGCAUUUGGGCCCUAACUUUAAGAAGCAUAUUUGCUAAAUACACAGGGAUGAUUUUUCAAUUUCUAUUUCUACUUAAUGCCUAUUCCAGCAGAAUGACUAGAGUUAUUGAUAAAAUACAGUCGCUUCACCUUGCAAGAGCUGAGUAGAAGAGUCAAGUGAUAGGUGUAAUGUUACUGUCAGCUGGGUGAGACAAGUACACAUAUAUCAAAAUAAUACCCAG